rnacentral:rRNA from 1 species
UUGACCUCGGAUCAGGUAGGGUACCCGCUGAA